CAGUAGCCACGGGAAUACGAAGGGUGCAAGCGUUAAUCGGAAUUACUGGGCGUAAAGCGUGCGUAGGCGGUGAGUUAAGUCUGCUGUGAAAUCCCCGGGCUCAACCUGGGAAUGGCAGUGGAUACUGGCUCGCUAGAGUGUGUCAGAGGAUGGUGGAAUUCCCGGUGUAGCGGUGAAAUGCGUAGAGAUCGGGAGGAACAUCAGUGGCGAAGGCGGCCAUCUGGGACAACACUGACGCUGAGGCACGAAAGCGUGGGGAGCAAACAGGAUUAGAUACCCCAGUAGUCUCUGUCUCUUAUAC
rnacentral:rRNA from 1 species